rnacentral:rRNA from 1 species
AACGAACGCUGGCGGCAUGCCUAACACAUGCAAGUCGAACGAAGCCUUCGGGCUUAGUGGCGCACGGUUGCGUAACGCGUGGGAAUCUGCCCUUUGGUUCGGAAUAACAGUUGGAAACGACUGCUAAUACCGGAUGAUGACGAAAGUCCAAAGAUUUAUCGCCAGAGGAUGAGCCCGCGUAGGAUUAGCUAGUUGGUGUGGUAAAGGCGCACCAAGGCGACGAUCCUUAGCUGGUCUGAGAGGAUGAUCAGCCACACUGGGACUGAGACACGGCCCAGACUCCUACGGGAGGCAGCAGUGGGGAAUAUUGGACAAUGGGCGAAAGCCUGAUCCAGCAAUGCCGCGUGAGUGAUGACGGCCCUUGGGUUGUAAAGCUCUUUUACCCGGGAUGAUAAUGACAGUACCGGGAGAAUAAGCCCCGGCUAACUCCGUGCCAGCCGCCGCCGUAA